CAAAAAUGGCUAUCAUGUUUCUUUGUGAGUGGUUCAAAACAUGGCAUUAUCCAACAGCACAGUCGCCUCCUCUGCUCCGCUGGCAAUCCCUUCCCUCCCAAAUUCAAAGAAUAUUGAAAGAAUUGAUUCACUACUCGGACCUUCAAGAGCUCCCAAAUUCAUCGCUCGCUCUAUUUCAAGAAAUGGCUCUUCCUUUCUUCAAUCUGAUUUGCCAUUUCCCCGUGAUUAUGAUGAGCUUCUUCAACAAGCCAAAAAAGCAACUGAAUUGGCUUUGGUGGAUGGCAAAAAGUUAAUGGAGAUUGAAUUCCCAACAUCUGGACUUGAAUCUGUUCCAGGUGAUGCUGAAGGGGGCAUAGAAAUGACUGCGAGCAUGCAGCUGAUUCGUGAAUUUUGUGACUGCUUCGUAAGUCCUGAGAAAGCUACAAGAACCAGAAUAUUUUUCCCAGAGGCAAAUGAAGUUAAAUUUGCAAGAAAAUCAGCCUUUGAAGGAUCUUCCCUUAAGUUGGACUAUUUGACAAAGCCAUCAUUUUUUGAGGAUUUUGGUUUUGUUGAGAAAGUCAAAAUGACAGAUCGUGUGAAGCCGGAAGACGAAUUGUUCCUGGUCGCCUAUCCUUAUUUUAAUGUUAAUGAAAUGCUUGUGGUGGAAGAGCUUUAUAGAGAAUUUGUUGCAAACACAACACGAAAACUAAUUAUAUUCAAUGGAGAACUUGAUCGUAUAAGAUCUGGCUAUUAUCCAUCCUUUUUCUAUCCUAAGCUGGCCUCUCUUUCCAAGACCCUUUUCCCAAUGAUGGAGACUGUGUAUUACAUUCACAAUUUUAAAGGACGCAAUGGAGGAACUCUUUUCAGGUGUUAUCCAGGUCCAUGGAAAGUCCUAAGAAAAGUAAAGAACACCCACAUUUGUUUGCAUCAGCAGGAAGUUAUGCCAUCACUUAAGGAAGUUGCCUUGGAUAUUCUCCCAUCAGCUUGAGAAUUUGGUACUUAACAGAUCUGUAAAUAUAUCUCAUUUGUUAUACUAUGGUUUAAUGAUAUCCAUUGUUUUUAGUAUUUUUAACCCAUCUUUAUUUAAGAUUUUAUCUCAAGAAUAUAAAUAUAUGAUAUUGUUAUGAUAUAUAGUAUAGGAAAAAUUACUAUUUAAUUCUUAUAUUUUAACGAAAUUAACUACUUAAACCCUCUAUUUCUUAGUUAGUGAACUAUUUAGUCCCUCCCGUUAUUUUUAAACCAAAAUUUUUUUCCCAACUCAACUUUUCAUUCUUUGUAAUUUGAAUAAUACAAUCCUUGUCUAAAACUAUUCUCUCUCCUUUGACUAACUUGAAUAAUAGAAAAGUUAACGAGAGUGAUUAAAAAGUUUACGGACUAAAAAUAGAAGGACUAAAUAGUGUCUUUUUUAAAAUUGAGAGAAAAAGUAAUUAGCUUUGUUAAAAUGUAGGGACUAGAUAGUAAUUUUCCCUAUAACAUAUUCAUUUAUUUCUGUUAAACGUGGAUUUCAUCAGCUUCUCCAAGAAAUGAACGUCCUCAGAAUUGGAAAGGUAUGAUUGUAGAACAGUAUCUUUGAUCAUAUUGGAUUGGGGCCUUGGCAUAAUUCUGAGUGUCAUUUUCCCAGGUCUAUGAUCUCAUACGGUGAAGCAAUCCAUUGGCAUCUUAAAAGUAUGAAUGAAUAUUACAAACAAACCAGGUUAUUUCUUCCUUUGUUGGUGGUAAGAUGCUUCUUUUGACGUCAUUUACCUGGAUUGUGACUGCACUUGUUAGUUUUCCAUUGAAUUCAUGGAAAUUGAUUCUCCUCAGUGAUAUUUUGGAACAUACUUCAUUAUAUGAGUUAUGAGAAGAGUCAUGGAAAAGUCUCUAGUGUAUGAUUGUGUCAUAAACUAUUAGAAAUAAUUAUUUAGUUCCUUUAUUUUAACAAAAUAUACUACUUGGUUCUUCUGUUUUGAAAAAUACGUUAGUUAUUGCUUAAAUUUUUAUUCCAUUUA